rnacentral:misc_RNA from 1 species
UCCCUCGAAUGAGGGCAGUCCCACCAGACAUAUCUAACUGGUAGUGAGGGUUUCGCUCGUUUACCCACUUAAGGGCACAGCUCACGCCACGAGCUGACGACAGCCGUGCAACACCUGUCUUGCCGUUCCGGCGCACAGAUCAGAAGCUUUCACUUCCGAGCUUUGCGCCGGCACGGUCCUAUUUCUAGGACUUUCGGCAGAUGUCAAGGCCUGGUAAGGUUCUCCGCUUAUCGUCGAAUUAAACCACAUGCUCCACCGCUUGUGCGAUCCCCCGUCAAUUCCUUUGAGUUUUAGUCUUGCGACCGUACUUCUCAGGCGGCAUACUUAACGCGUUAGCUUCGCUACAAGAAGGGUCGAUGCUUCUGAUAGCUAGUAUGCAUAGUUUACGGCGUGGACUAC